UACGAAGGGGGCGAGCGUUGUUCGGAUUUACUGGGCGUAAAGGGCGCGCAGGCGGCUCAUUUUGUCAGGCGUGAAAGCCCCGGGCUUAACCUGGGAACUGCGUUUGAUACGGAUGGGCUAGAGUUCGGGAGAGGAGAGUGGAAUUCCCAGUGUAGAGGUGAAAUUCGUAGAUAUUGGGAAGAACACCGGUGGCGAAGGCGGCUCUCUGGGACCGAGACUGACGCUGAGGCGCGAAGGCGUGGGGAGCGAACGGGG
rnacentral:rRNA from 1 species